ACCCUGUAGUGCAUACUGUAUUAUUGUUUUAUUGCGAUGGAGCUGUGCUCAAUCUGGCCAUGUCUGUGUCACCUCUGCCCAUGAGUGAAUUGAGCCAGCAGUCCAGCAGAUGGCAGCAGGAGUCUGACGCUCCAGGACUUCAGAUCACAGAGGUACAGACUGUGACCUGCUGGUUGACAUGAACAUGACAUGUCUACAACCUCCCAGUCGCCCACUCUCAGGGCGGAAGCAAUCCCGGCUCCCUCUGAAGUGCAGCAAAAAGGGAAAUCGCUCCGUUUUUACUGCACGUCUAAGAGAGCAGCAGCUUCCUAAGGGUUGUCAUUUUCCAGUUUGUGAGUGGGUGGCUGUCGGCUGCGGUUUGUCACUUAGUGGACCUGGACUGAGACGUUUUAAAGGGUGUGAUGGUCCGUGACAAGGGAGGAAGACGUGGGGCCAAAGGGCCCUGUGGUCACACAUUCCUCAACUCCUCCAGCGCUGCCUACAGCCAUGACCAAAAUAUCAGAUCCAGUCAUGCAAACACUGUGGUCACAACAUCAUGCUUUCACACAUAAAGAUGUUUAUAUUGUGUUCUUGACAAUAAUAAUGCUGAUAAAAGUAACCUCUUUA